rnacentral:rRNA from 1 species
GGGACGAACGCUGGCGGCGUGCUUAACACAUGCAAGUCGAACGGUGAAGCCUUUCGGGGUGGAUCAGUGGCGAACGGGUGAGUAACACGUGAGUAAUCUGCCCUUGACUCUGGGAUAACUUCGGGAAACCGUGGCUAAUACCGGAUAUGACGCAUGGUCGCAUGGUCUGUGUGUGGAAAGGUUUAUUGGUCAGGGAUGAGCUCGCGGCCUAUCAGCUUGUUGGUGGGGUAAUGGCCUACCAAGGCGACGACGGGUA